UACGUAGGGGGCAAGCGUUGUCCGGAAUCAUUGGGCGUAAAGCGCGUGUAGGCGGUUCGGUAAGUCGGCUGUGAAAGUCCAGGGCUCAACCCUGGGAUGCCGGUCGAUACUGCCGGACUAGAGUUCGGAAGAGGCGAGUGGAAUUCCCGGUGUAGUGGUGAAAUGCGUAGAUAUCGGGAGGAACACCAGUGGCGAAGGCGACUUCCUGGCCUGUUCUUGACGCUGAGGCGCGAAAGCUAGGGGAGCAAACGGG
rnacentral:rRNA from 1 species